UGCAUAUCAAAAAAGCGGAGGAAAAGAAACCAACCGGGAUUGCCUUAGUAACGGCGAGUGAAGCGGCAAAAGCUCAAAUUUGAAAUCUGGUACCUUCGGUGCCCGAGUUGUAAUUUGGAGAGGGCAACUUUGGGGCCGUUCCUUGUCUAUGUUCCUUGGAACAGGACGUCAUAGAGGGUGAGAAUCCCGUGUGGCGAGGAGUGCGGUUCUUUGUAAAGUGCCUUCGAAGAGUCGAGUUGUUUGGGAAUGCAGCUCUAAGUGGGUGGUAAAUUCCAUCUAAAGCUAAAUAUUGGCGAGAGACCGAUAGCGAACAAGUACAGUGAUGGAAAGAUGAAAAGAACUUUGAAAAGAGAGUGAAAAAGUACGUGAAAUUGUUGAAAGGGAAGGGCAUUUGAUCAGACAUGGUGUUUUGUGCCCUCUGCUCCUUGUGGGUAGGGGAAUCUCGCAUUUCACUGGGCCAGCAUCAGUUUUGGUGGCAGGAUAAAUCCAUAGGAAUGUAGCUUGCCUCGGUAAGUAUUAUAGCCUGUGGGAAUACUGCCAGCUGGGACUGAGGACUGCGACGUAAGUCAAGGAUGCUGGCAUAAUGGUUAUAUGCCGCCCGUCUUGAAACCACGGACCA
rnacentral:rRNA from 1 species